CAGAGACAGAAACGAAACCCCUUCGUGUCAUUUCGUCUCGACUCUCGGACCGUGGAAGCGUAUUACCUGUUCAAAACUAUCAGAUUGGUUCACAGUCUGAGAGCGAUUCGGUCAAGAUUCCUGGAGAAAACAACUUCCUAAACCCGGCAAUGCAAUGUGCCUCCCCAGACGGGUUCCUGCCGCCUCCUGUUAGCGUUUCCAGCCCGUCAGCUGCCGGCAGGCCCAUUGGAGAGGGCCCACCUGGCUGCCCCCUGGGGCAAUCCGUGUCCGCGGCCACCGUCCCACCCUGGCGCUGACCCUGCAUGCAACAGGAGAGCCUGGCCCUUCCAGUGGGACAUCUCAGACCCAGCCUCCUGCUCUGGGGACCCGGCGCCACGUUGUGAGAAAGGCCCAGCUGCGUGCGGGUGCUCCUGUCGACGUCCCAGCCCACAGCCAGCUAUGAACAAUCCACGCCGUGACAACCGCAGAUUUGCACUUGAUGUCAAAAUACCUGGAAAUUCCACCCUCCUCUCCCUCCACUGGCCUUUCCCUGGCCUGAGAAUGUCACGCUGGACCGACGAACGCAACCUGGGGGAAAUGUCCCUGGCCGUAAUCUCUGAGCCAAAGGUCAGGACACACGAUGUAGCGUGAGCCUGUGGCAUCCACUGGGAACUGCGAUCAGGAC
rnacentral:lncRNA from 1 species